AGUGGCGAACGGGUGAGUAACACGUGAGUAACCUGCCCUUGACUCUGGGAUAAGCACUGGAAACGGUGUCUAAUACCGGAUACGAACUUCGACGGCAUCGUCAGGAGUUGGAAAGAAUUUCGGUCAAGGAUGGACUCGCGGCCUAUCAGCUAGUUGGUGAGGUAAUGGCCCACCAAGGCGACGACGGGUAGCCGGCCUGAGAGGGUGACCGGCCACACUGGGACUGAGACACGGCCCAGACUCCUACGGGAGGCAGCAGUGGGGAAUAUUGCACAAUGGGCGCAAGCCUGAUGCAGCAACGCCGCGUGAGGGACGACGGCCUUCGGGUUGUAAACCUCUUUUAGUAGGGAAGAAGCGACGUGUUUUACACGGAGUGACGGUACCUGCAGAAAAAGCACCGGCUAACUACGUGCCAGCAGCCGCGGUAAUACGUAGGGUGCAAGCGUUAUCCGGAAUUAUUGGGCGUAAAGAGCUCGUAGGCGGUCUGUCGCGUCUGCUGUGAAAACUGGGGGCUCAACCCCCAGCCUGCAGUGGGUACGGGCAGACUAGAGUGCGGUAGGGGAGAUUGGAAUUCCUGGUGUAGCGGUGGAAUGCGCAGAUAUCAGGAGGAACACCGAUGGCGAAGGCAGAUCUCUGGGCCGUAACUGACGCUGAGGAGCGAAAGCAUGGGGAGCGAACAGGAUUAGAUACCCUGGUAGUCCAUGCCGUAAACGUUGGGAACUAGAUGUAGGGACCAUUCCACGGUUUCUGUGUCGCAGCUAACGCAUUAAGUUCCCCGCCUGGGGAGUACGGCCGCAAGGCUAAAACUCAAAGGAAUUGACGGGGGCCCGCACAAGCGGCGGAGCAUGCGGAUUAAUUCGAUGCAACGCGAAGAACCUUACCAAGGCUUGACAUAUACCGGAAAAGGCUGGAAACAGUCUCCC
rnacentral:rRNA from 1 species